rnacentral:rRNA from 1 species
CCUACGGGGGGCAGCAGUCGAGAAUCAUUCACAAUGGGGGAAACCCUGAUGGUGCGACGCCGCGUGGGGGAAUGAAGGUCUUCGGAUUGUAAACCCCUGUCAUGUGGGAGCAAAUUAAAAAGAUAGUACCACAAGAGGAAGAGACGGCUAACCCUGUGCCAGCAGCCGCGGUAAUACAGAGGUCUCAAGCGUUGUUCGGAAUCACUGGGCGUAAAGCGUGCGUAGGCUGUUUCGUAAGUCGUGUGUGAAAGGCGCGGGCUCAACCCGCGGACGGCACAUGAUACUGCGAGACUAGAGUGAUGGAGGGGGAACCGGAAUUCUCGGUGUAGCAGUGAAAUGCGUAGAUAUCGAGAGGAACACUCGUGGCGAAGGCGGGUUCCUGGACAUUAACUGACGCUGAGGCACGAAGGCCAGGGGAGCGAAAGGGAUUAGAUACCCGAGUAGUC